rnacentral:rRNA from 1 species
UACGUAGGGUGCAAGCGUUGUCCGGAAUUAUUGGGCGUAAAGAGCGUGUAGGCGGCCAGGUAGGUGGGUUGUGAAAACUGGAGGCUCAACCUUCAGACGUCGACCCAAACCCCCCUGGCUAGAGUCCGGAAGAGGAGAGUGGAAUUCCUGGUGUAGCGGUGAAAUGCGCAGAUAUCAGGAAGAACACCCGUGGCGAAGGCGGCUCUCUGGGGACGGUACUGACGCUGAGACGCGAAAGCGUGGGGAGCGAACAGG